AUGGACUUCGCCGUCAACGCGGCGCUGUGGGUGGUUGGCAAGGCGUUGGCACCCGUCACAGACGGCCUGCUUGAGUCAUGGGUGGCUAGCGCUGGGCUGGGAGCUAACAUCGACGCCCUCAAGAUGCAGCUCCUCUACGGACAAGGGAUGCUCGACAAUGCACAGGGUAGGGACAUCCGGAGCCCUGCGCUCAAGGAGCUUCUGCAUAAGCUGCGGGAGCUGGCAUAUGGUGCCGACGACGUGCUAGAUGAGCUGGACUACUUCUGCAUCCAGGACGCGCUCGAGGGCACCUGCCAUGCUGCCGAUUUGGAUGCCUAG
rnacentral:rRNA from 1 species